rnacentral:lncRNA from 1 species
GGAUGGAGUAUGGUUUUUGGAAUGUGAAAUUUAUGAUUCUAAUAAAUAUAUAAAUACUUAAAAUUAUAUAAAAAAAUUUUAAAAAUAGUUUCAAACAUAAUUUUUGUUUUUCAAAAAGAAAUUUGGAAAAAAAAUUAAAUAAAAUAUUCGAAAAAAGUUUUUUUUUUUUUAUAAUGUUCGAAUUUGAAAAAUUUUAAUACGAAAACAUAAAAAUUCAAAAAAAAAAUUAUUUUUUUUUAUUUUUUUAUUUUAUUUUUUAUUUUUUUAUUUUAUUUUUUUUUAUUUUUUUUAUUUUUUUAUUUAAAUAAUAAUUUAUUAUAUAUAAAUAACAAUGACAUAAGAGUCUUUUGCCAUUUAAUGAAGAAGGUAUUUUUGAAAACGUCUCAUUAAUAGUGGUAAAAAUGAAAAAUGGUACCAUGAAAAUGGUAAAC